AUUGAACGCUGGCGGCAGGCCUAACACAUGCAAGUCGAGCGGAUGAAGGGAGCUUGCUCCUGGAUUCAGCGGCGGACGGGUGAGUAAUGCCUAGGAAUCUGCCUGGUAGUGGGGGAUAACGUCCGGAAACGGGCGCUAAUACCGCAUACGUCCUGAGGGAGAAAGUGGGGGAUCUUCGGACCUCACGCUAUCAGAUGAGCCUAGGUCGGAUUAGCUAGUUGGUGGGGUAAAGGCCUACCAAGGCGACGAUCCGUAACUGGUCUGAGAGGAUGAUCAGUCACACUGGAACGGAGACACGGUCCAGACUCCUACGGGAGGCAGCAGUGGGGAAUAUUGGACAAUGGGCGAAAGCCUGAUACAGCAAAGCCGCGUGUGUGAAGAAGGUCUUCGGAUUGUAAAGCACUUUAAGUUGGGAGGAAGGGAAGUAAGUUAAUACCUUGCUGUUUUGACGUUACCAACAGAAUAAGCACCGGCUAACUUCGUG
rnacentral:rRNA from 1 species